UUUGAUCUCAGGUCGGGCGGGAGCACCCGCGCAAUUAAAGCAUAUAACUAAGCGGUGGAAGAGAAAUGAACGAGGAUUCCCUUGGUAGCGGCGAGCGAACCGGGAAUAGCCCAGACUGAAAAUCCGGGGGCUCUGUUGCUCCCUGAAUUGUAGUCUUGAGAGGCAACCUCUGCAGCGGGGCAUGUGCAGGUUCCCUGGAAGGGGACGCCGAAGAGGGUGACAGCCCGGUCGACCGCCGGACCCUGCUGUGCAACGAGGUGCUGUCCAGGAGUCCAGUUGCUUGGGAAUGCAGCCCCAAUUGGGUGGUAAGUCCCAUCCAAGGCUAAAUACGUGCGAGGGACCGAUAGCGAAGAAGUACCGCGAGGGAAGGAUGAAAAGAACUUUGAAAAGAGAGUUAAAGAGUGCUUGAAAUUGCCGAGCGAGAAGCGGAUGGAGGGGAAGUCGUGCGUUCCCGUCUAGGCAGGGGUGGACGGCAACUGUGUUGUCGCCCGCCUUGUUGGACGUGGGGUGCCUGCUAUCAUGGGCUGCUGUGACCGGCAUUGUGGUGGGGAGCGACUGAAACCCCCCACGGGUGGCCGCCACGGCAGUCGAGGACCUUGAGCACGCGCCUCUUUCGGCGGGCCCGUUCGGGUUCCUGCGUGUUCGGGAUGCUGGCGAAAUUCCUCUAUCCUGCCCGUCUUGAAACACGGACCGAGAAGUUCAACGUGCAUGUGAGCCGGUGGGUGAUUAGCCCACGAGGGAGAAGAAACCUAAGUGGCGGGAACCAUCUGCGGGUGCACAGUCCGCCAACCACGAUCUGUUGUGAGAGGUUUGAGUGUGAGCAAUGCCCGUUGGGACUCGAAAGAUGGUGAACUAUGCCUGAGCAGGGCGAGGCCAGAGGAAACUCUGGUGGAGGCUCGCAGUGAUACUGACGUGCAAAUCGUUCGUCGGACUUGRGUAUAGGGGCGAAAGACUAAUCGAACCGUCUAGUAGCUGGUUCCCUCCGAAGUUUCCCUCAGGAUAGCUGGAGYUGUUGAACAGUUUUAUCGGGUAAAAUGAAGAUUAGAAGCCUCGGGGGUCAAACACCCUCGACCUAUUGUCAAACUUCAAAUAGAUAAGAUUUCGGGGUUGCUUAAGCGAACCCCGAGGAUCAAUGAAAGCUCCAAGUGGGCCGUUUUUGGUAAGCAGAACUGGCGAUGCGGGAUGAACCGAAAGUCGAGCUACGGUGGCAAACUGCGCGCUAACCCAGACACCACAAAGGGUGUUGAUUGAUACAAACAGCCGGACGGUGAUCAUGGAAGUCGAAAUCCGCUAAGGAGUGUGUAACAACUCACCUGUCGAAUCAACCAACCCCGAGUAGGAGGGCGCGGGGCCGACUGCGAAGCCUGGAGCGUGAGCCUAGGUGAACUGGGUCCCGGUCCAAAUCUUGGUGGUAGUAGCAAAUAUUCAAAUGAGAACUUUGAAGACCGAAGUGGAGAAGGGUUCCAUGUGAACAGCGCUUGCACAUGGGUCAGUCGGCCCUAAGAGAUGUGGAAACCUUGUMUCAAGGGCGCACUGCGCGCCGCACAUCGAAAGGGGGUCAGGUUAAUAUUCCCGAACGGGGUUGUGGAGGUGGACGGUAAUGUAAGCAGCUCCAGAGAUGCUACCGGGGGCCGUUGGGAGGGUUCUCUUUCCUUCUUGACGGCUCGCCCACCUUGGAAUCGGAUCAACCGGAAAUGUGGAUCCGUAACCUUGGGAAAAGGAUUGGCUCUGAGGGCUGGGCCUAGGGGUCUGCGCCUCGAUGUCGUUGGCUGCCGGUGGUCUGCCCGAGCUGCUCUCGNNNNNNNNNNNNNNNCUCGCGGCGAGGGCGGAGCCCGCGUGCCAGUGUGCCGACGGGCGUAGAAUGUCUUAUGUCCCCACCUUUCGGGCGGGGCCGUGGGACUCUCCCUAAGCAUCAAACUGCCGACUCAGAACUGGUGCGGACAAGGGGAAUUCGACUGUUUAAUUAAAACAAAGCAUUGCGAUGGUCCCAACGGAUGUUGACGCAAUGUGAUUUCUGCCCAGUGCUCUGAAUGUCAAAGUGAAGAGAUUCAACCAAGCGCGGGUAAACGGCGGGAGUAACUAUGACUCUCUUAAGGUAGCCAAAUGCCUCGUCAUCUAAUUAGUGACGAGCAUGAAUGCAUUAACGAGAUUCCCAUUGUCCCUAUCUACCAUGUUGCGAAACCACAGCAAAGGGAACGGGCUUGGAAGAAUCGGCGGGGAAAGAAGACCCUGUUGAGCUUGACUCUAGUUCGACUCUGUGAAAUGACUUGAGAGGUGUAGAAUAAGUGGGAGCCUUACUGCGCACGUGAAAUACCACUACUUUUAAUGUUAUUUUACUUAUUUCGUGAGGUGGAGCCGUGGCUCUGCCCUGCUUUUUGAUCCAAGGUUGUGGAGGUGGACGGGAACGUAAGCAGCUCCGGGGAUGCCGCCGGGGGCCGUGGGGAGGGUUCUCUUUCCUUCUUGACGGCUCGCCCACCUUGGAAUCGGAUCAACCGGAAAUAUGGAUCCGUAACCUUGGGAAAAGGAUUGGCUCUGAGGGCUGGGCCUAGGGGUCUGCGCGUCGAUGUCAUUGGCUGUCGGUGGUCUGCCCGAGCUGCUCUCGCGGCGAGCGCGGAGCCCGCGUGCGAGUGUGCCGACGAACGUAGAAUGUCUUAUGUCUCCACCUUUCGGGCAGGGCCGUGGGACUCUCCCUAAGCAUCAAACUGCCGACUCAGAACUGGUGCGGACAAGGRGAAUCCGACUGUUUAAUUAAGGC
rnacentral:rRNA from 1 species